rnacentral:rRNA from 1 species
AGCGAACGCUGGCGGCAGGCCUAACACAUGCAAGUCGAACGGACCUUUCGGGGUUAGUGGCGGACGGGUGAGUAACACGUGGGAACGUGCCUUUAGGUUCGGAAUAGCACCUGGAAACGGGUGGUAAUGCCGAAUGUGCCCUUCGGGGGAAAGAUUUAUCGCCUUAGAGCGGCCCGCGUCUGAUUAGCUAGUUAGUAGGGUUAUGGCUCACCAAGGCUACGAUCCGUAGCUGGUCUGAGAGGAUGACCAGCCACAUUGGGACUGAGACACGGCCCAAACUCCUACGGGAGGCAGCAGUGGGGAAUCUUGCGCAAUGGGCGAAAGCCGUACGCAGCCAUGCCGCGUGGAUGAUGAAGGUCUUAGGAUUGUAAAAUCCUUUCACCGGUGAAGAUAAUGACUGUAGCCGGAGAAGAAGCCCCGGCUAACUUCGUGCCAGCAGCCGCCGUAA